AGACGUUUGGUACCAACUCGAAACUGCGC
rnacentral:piRNA from 1 species